UACGUAGGGUCCGAGCGUUGUCCGGAAUUAUUGGGCGUAAAGGGCUCGUAGGCGGUUUGUCACGUCGGGAGUGAAAACUCAGGGCUCAACCCUGAGCGUGCUUCCGAUACGGGCAGACUAGAGGUAUGCAGGGGAGAACGGAGUUCCUGGUGUAGCGGUGGAAUGCGCAGAUAUCAGGAGGAACACCGGUGGCGAAGGCGGUUCUCUGGGCAUUACCUGACGCUGAGGAGCGAAAGCAUGGGGAGCGAACAGG
rnacentral:rRNA from 1 species